GAUGAACGCUGGCGGCGUGCCUAAUACAUGCGAGUCGAGCGAACAGACGAGGAUCUUGCUCCUCUGACGUUAGCGGCGGACGGGUGAGUAACACGUGGAUAACCUACCUAUAAGACUGGGAUAACUUCGGGAAACCGGAGCUAAUACCGGAUAAUAUAUUGAACCGCAUGGUGCAAUAGUGAAAGACGGUUUUGCUGUCACUUAUAGAUGGUUCCGCGCCGCAUUAGCUUGUUGGUAAGGUAACGGCUUACCAAGGCAACGAUGCGUAGCCGACCUGAGAGAGGGCUCGGCCACACUGGGACUGGGUGACGGUCCAGACUCCUACGGAGGCCCGCCGUAGGCAACCUCCCGCGAUGGGCGAGAGCAUGACGGAGCAACGCCGCGUGGGUGAUGGAGGUCUUCGCGUCGUGAAACUCUGUUAUUAGGGAAGGACAACUGUGUAAGUAACUAUGCACGUCUUGACGGUACCUAGUCAGAAAGCCACGGCUAACUCCGUG
rnacentral:rRNA from 1 species